CCUACGGGGGGCAGCAGUGAGGAAUAUUGGACAAUGGGUGAGAGCCUGAUCCAGCCAUCCCGCGUGAAGGAUUAAGGACCUAUGGUUUGUAAACUUCUUUUGUACAGGGAUAAACCUGCCCUCGUGAGGGUAGCUGAAGGUACUGUACGAAUAAGCACCGGCUAACUCCGUGCCAGCAGCCGCGGUAAUACGGAGGGUGCAAGCGUUAUCCGGAUUUAUUGGGUUUAAAGGGUCCGUAGGCGGAUCUAUAAGUCAGUGGUGAAAUCUCGCAGCUU
rnacentral:rRNA from 1 species